GUGAAUCAUCGAAUUUUUGAACGCAAAUUGCACUCUCUGGUAUUCCGGAGAGUAUGCCUGUUUGAGGGUCAGUUUAAAUAACAAUCGGUGUGGUUGCUGACUUUUGUGGUGCCGCACGGGAUCUGGGUCGGCUUGCCUUCGGCUAAGUGAACUCCCAUUUUGCAUGAUUUUUUUCGAACGUAUUUAAAUGAUUUUAUGUACGAUUGCGAUAUAGAAUACUAGGUGUGGUUAUCUUCAUGCUUCG
rnacentral:misc_RNA from 1 species